GAAAGAUCUGUGUGGGUCUGAUUCAAACCAAUAGAGAGUCAGCGGUAAACAUACCAGGCAGAGCAUCAGAGUAAGUACAUUAUUUCCAUCUUUUUGCUUACCUUUUAGCCUUUAGUUUUGCAACUUACCUUCACCACAGCAGCCUCAUCACCAGUAGUGAGAUUGGAACCAGUUCCACAGGUUGAAACGUUUUAUUUUGGAAAAAAGAAGAAGAAGGAGAAGAAGGGGAAGGGGAAGAAGGAGAAGGAAGAGGAGGAGAAGAAGAAGGAGAAGAAGAAGGAGAAGGAGAAGAAGGAGAAGGAGAAGAAGAAGAAGAAGUAAAAGAUUCAGAUUUAUAUAUUUCUCUCUCACAUGCUUCUUGGUUUUGGAGCCUGAAAGUGACAGUUGUAUUCAGUUCUGUGUAUACCACUAUAAUUCAACUUUAAAUAUUUUUUUUUUCAUGAAACCAGUUAAUGAAUCUUGCUCUUUCCUAACAACAGCAUCUGUCUCUAGUGGGUUUUAUGCAUUUUUUUUUCCUAUGUACUCUGUAAGCAGAAUAGCUUUUCUGACUUAAGGCUGAGAAUUUUUUAUGUGUAGGACCCUAACCCUAAUUAAUUUUCUUUCCUUAUAGUUGAAACAUUUCAAUAUUGCCCUUAAUCUAAACUCCCCUAAGUGAUCUUGGUAAUUACCCUGCAGUGGCAAAGAGAUGUUCUCAGUGAUCCAUGGAUGUUUUAGCUAACUCUCAAUCUUUGGCUUCUCUGAAAAAUGUGUUACAUUUCCUAGUAACUGGGAAGCACUACGGAGAUGCAGAAUAAUCUUGCUUCUAUAGAUUCAGCUACAAAGGUAUACGUUAUUUCUUAGGUCUAUGAACUGUGAGUAGAUUUUCUUCCUAGCUUGUAUAUACUUUUUUUUUUUUUUUUUUUUUUUUUUUUUUUUUUUUUUUAUGCCUUAUUGCUCUGGUGACAAAUUUGAAUUUAUUUUUAUUUCCAAUGUUUUAUUUUGUUUGCACUCAACUGAGUUAGAGACCAGAAUGGGUGAUUGUUAUACAGUAGUUUACUUUUAAAAGAAAUAGGACUUCUCAAGCAGCUAAUACAGGAAGAUGUAUCACCAGCUUGAAUAAUUGUGACAACCAUAGACGGUAUCAGUGCCUGUUUGUUUGCACAAUACCCUACUGCAUUAAGAAAGCCAUCCCAGCUGUCUUGGGCUCUGGAGUCACCCAUUUCAUCACUUGACACUGCAGCAGAUGUUAUGGAUUGAUAACAGACUUCACUUCAUUCACUCCACAUCUAAGAUUACCUCUGGAAAAAAAAAAAAAUAAUCAAAUACAUUAUAACACUCCCAGCCAUUUGUAAAGGAAAAAGAGAGAGAGAGAGGGAAAGAAAGAGAGAAAGAUCAGCAAUUUAUUCUCUCUUUUGCAGCAUUAAAUGGCUCCUUUUGGGCUUUUCAAAUAUAUAUUUCAUUUAUAUAUAUUUUUUUCCUUAACAUAUUCAUAGUGGUGGGUAUUCAUCUUAGUACCUCCAGAAAGAAAGAAAAAAAAAAAAAAAAAGAUAAAGAUAGAUUCAAUAUUUAAUGAUUUAAUUACAUUAAGACUUGGACAGGUUUUAGGUUUAUGAAUUACAUUCCCAUUAUAUCAGAUGCCUUAUGUUUUCACUGAUAGUAUGUAAAUGCAAAAUGUUCAUUGUGUUGAUGACAGAAAUACCAGACAAAUCAAGCACUGUAGUUUUUGGUCUAGUAGAUGAAUAUUCGGAUGUACAUAUGCAGUCCUGAUGGUGAUGCUGGGUCUUGUAUUUUAUUGGAGAUAGUGUAGGUGAAUGUUUAUUUAUAUGCCAUACUGUCUAGCAUAUAAGUGAACAAAAAAUGUGUUUGCAGAGUGGGGUAGGGUUUUCCUCCUCACCUUUUAAAUUGUAGCUAAUGCAAUAAUUGUAUAAAUUAAAUAGAUGGAAUAAAAUACCUGGUGCUGUCCUGUCA
rnacentral:lncRNA from 1 species